UAGGGAAUCUUCCGCAAUGGACGCAAGUCUGACGGAGCAACGCCGCGUGAGUGAUGAAGGUCUUCGGAUCGUAAAACUCUGUUAUUAGGGAAGAAUAAAUGUGUAAGUAACUAUGCACGUCUUGACGGUACCUAAUCAGAAAGCCACGGCUAACUACGUGCCAGCAGCCGCGGUAAUACGUAGGUGGCAAGCGUUGUCCGGAUUUAUUGGGCGUAAAGCGAGCGCAGGCGGUCAAUUAAGUCUGAUGUGAAAGCCCCCGGCUCAACCGGGGAGGGUCAUUGGAAACUGGUUGACUUGAGUGCAGAAGAGGAGAGUGGAAUUCCAUGUGUAGCGGUGAAAUGCGUAGAUAUAUGGAGGAACACCAGUGGCGAAGGCGACUCUCUGGUCUGUAACUGACGCUGAGGCUCGAAAGCGUGGGUAGCAAACAGG
rnacentral:rRNA from 1 species